rnacentral:rRNA from 1 species
CACCGCCCGUCACAUCACGAAAGUGGGCUGUACUAGAAGUCGGUGCGCGAACCGCAAGGACGCAGCCGCCCAAGGUAUAACUCAUGAUCGGGGUG